CCCGGCGGCGGUGGCGGCGCGUGGCACCCGUGUUGGCCGUGGCGGCGGUGGUGGGGAUGGCUGCGCUUCCGCGUCAGCCGAGAGCUCAGGAUCUCUAAGACCAAGAAGCUGGUGCGAUCGCGGGCGCCCAGACUUCAGUCUGAGGCUCGGCGGCGGCGGCGGCGGCAGCGGUCGUCCUGGCCAGAGAUGCGCGGCCUGACGUAGCAGAGCCGGGGCGAAGCGCGGCGGCAAGGGCGGCAGUGGCGGUGCAGACCUAGGCGAGAGCGGGAAGAGUGUCUGUCUGGAUGGCUGCGGGAGCGAAAUUGUAAGCUCCUCAAAAGGUUACAUGUUUCCUACUUAUUUUGUACCAUCA
rnacentral:lncRNA from 10 species